GACUACUAUGAAAGGAGAGCAGGUUAGCACUCCUCUUGACAGGGAUGGAAGAGUUCCUAGUGGCCUUCAACACACAUAUGGUUAAGGCUCGUAGCAUCACUAACCAAGUUUUUUA